GAUGAACGCUGGCGGCGUGCCUAAUACAUGCAAGUCGAGCGAACAGACGAGGAGCUUGCUCCUCUGACGUUAGCGGCGGACGGGUGAGUAACACGUGGAUAACCUACCUAUAAGACUGGGAUAACUUCGGGAAACCGGAGCUAAUACCGGAUAAUAUAUUGAACCGCAUGGUUCAAUAGUGAAAGACGGUUUUGCUGUCACUUAUAGAUGGAUCCGCGCCGCAUUAGCUAGUUGGUAAGGUAACGGCUUACCAAGGCAACGAUGCGUAGCCGACCUGAGAGGGUGAACGGCGACACUGGAACUGGGACACGGUCCAGACUCCUACGGGGGGCAGCAGUAGGGAAUCUUCCGCAAUGGGCGAAAGCCUGACGGAGCAACGCCGCGUGAGUGAUGAAGGUCUUCGGAUCUUAAAACUCUGUUAUUAGGGAAGAACAAAUGUGUAAGUAACUAUGCACGUCUUGACGGUACCUGAUCAGGAAGCCACGGCUAACUACGUG
rnacentral:rRNA from 1 species